rnacentral:rRNA from 1 species
UGGGGAAUUUUGCACAAUGGAGGAAACUCUGAUGCAGCGACGCCGCGUGAGUGAUGAAGAUCUUCGGAUUGUAAAACUCUGUCCUUAGUGAAGAUAAUGACAGUAACUAAGAAGCAAGCCCUGGCUAAAUACGUGCCAGCAGCCGCGGUAAUACGUAUGGGCAAGCGUUGUCCGGAAUUAUUGGGCGUAAAGGGUACGUAGGCGGUUUAAUAAGUCCUAAUUAAAAGGCUAUGGCUCAACCAUAGUAUGGUUAGGAAACUGUUGAACUUGAGUAGAUGAGGGGAAAGUGGAAUUCCAUGUGUAGCGGUGAAAUGCGUAGAUAUAUGGAGGAACACCAAUGGCGAAGGCAACUUUCUGGAAUCAAACUGACGCUGAGGUACGAAGGCGUGGGGAGCAAACAGG